UUACACAAUUUUUUGUGAAGGAACAUACAACCGCAAACAUGAUACUCUGAUAAAUUGCUGUCGAAGUUUUUAAGCUCUUGUGUAUAAAAGGUAGAAAAUAACAGAAAUAUCUUUCAAAAGAUUUCCAUACAGUUAACAUUACUUUCUGGAAAAGAGUUAUAUAGAAGAAUGAAGGUUUCAGUUUUUUUAAUUGUCUCUCUGCUGUUGGUGUUUGCUGAAGUCAGCAUGGCUAAUGAAGAAAUGCUGGAAGACGAUGGACUUCUUGAGAAGCUUGUCAAAAGAAGUCCUAAAGAAUGUACUGGAAGACCUUGCAGUUCCUUAAAUCCGUGCUGCUACAGACAUAAAUGUUCCUACGGACAAUGCAUAUUCUGAUACGGAAAGUGAGUUCCGGCAUCCAUAACUUACAAGUACUAGAAAACUCGAAGCAACAGACUCACGGAAAUGAUGUUACUUUUAA